AUACGUAGGGGGCGAGCGUUGUCCGGAAUGAUUGGGCGUAAAGGGCGCGUAGGCGGCCCGGUAAGUCUGGAGUGAAAGUCCUGUUUUUAAGAUGGGAAUUGCUUUGGAUACUGUCGGGCUUGAGUGCAGGAGAGGUAAGUGGAAUUCCCAGUGUAGCGGUGAAAUGCGUAGAGAUUGGGAGGAACACCAGUGGCGAAGGCGACUUACUGGACUGUAACGGACGCUGAGGCGCGAAAGUGUGGGGAACAAACAGGAUUAGAUACCCUGGUAGUCCACACUGUAAACGAGGAAUGCUAGGUGUAGGGGGUAUCGACCCCUUCUGUGCCGCAGUCAACACAAUAAGCAUUCCGCCUGGGGAGUACGGCCGCAAGGUUGAAACUCAAAGGAAUUGACGGGG
rnacentral:rRNA from 1 species